rfam:Micromonospora echinofusca strain DSM 43913 genome assembly, chromosome: I
CUUGACGGAGCCGAGCCACAGCGGCCGGUCCGCGGGCCGGUCCCGCCCGUACGUGGCGAGCAGCGCCUGCGCCUC